CUGACCCCGACCCCCGCAUAUACCAGCAAAGGUGCGCCCGGGGGCCUGACCCCGACCACCGCAUAUACCAGCAACAGUGCGCCCGGGGGGCCUGACCCCGACCACCGCAUAUACCAGCAAAGAUGCGCCCGGGGGCCUGACCCCGACCACCGCAUAUACCAGCAACGGUGCGCCCGGGGGCCUGACCCCGACCCCCGCAUAUACCAGCAACGGUGCGCCCGGGGGCCUGACCCCGACCACCGCAUAUACCAGCAACGGUGCGCCCGGGGGCCUGACCCCGACCCCCGCAUAUACCAGCAACGCCCGGGGGCCUGACCCCGACCCCCGCAUAUACCAGCAACGGUGCGCCCGGGGGCCUCCUCAUCCCUCCCCCAUCCCUUCCCCUCCCACUUGUCCCCUCUCCCCUCCCACCUGUCCCCUCAUUCCCUCCCCCAUCCCCUCCCCUCUCCGGAGACCCUUCAGGUGGAAGGAACAGCCUGGGAAGUCCCGGGGGGCUUGGCGAGCAGGGGGCAGGGAGCCAGUGAUGGGCCCUCCUCCCUUCUCAUCAUGGAAAGAAGACUUUUUUUUUUUUUUUUUUUUUUUUAGGAGACACAGUCUCCCUCUGUUGCCCAGGCUGGAGUGCAAUGGUGUGAUCUCGGCUCACUGCAACCUCCACCUCUUGGGUUCAAGCAAUUCUUUCACCUCAGCCUCCCCAGUAGCUGGGAUUAUGGGCAUGCACCACCACACCAUGCUAAUUUUUGUAUUUUUAGUAGAGAGAUGGGGUUUCACCAUGUUGGCCAGGCUGGUCUUGAACUCCUGACCUCAAAUGAUCCGCCCACUUUGGCUUCCCUAAGUGCUGGGAUUACAGGCGUGAGCCAUCAUGUCCAGCCAAUUUUUUUUUUUUUUAAGAUAGGGUCUCACUCUGUCACCCAGGCUGACGUGCAGUGGUACUGUUUUGGCUUGCUGCAUCCUGGGAAAGGAGAGUGUAACAGCACUUUAAGGAACAGAAGCCUUUCAAUGGCCAGAGAGUGACAGAAAAGUCUUAGGGAGGUAGGGGAAAACGAGAGGCCUGGGAGCCGGGCUCCCGGGACGGCGGUGGCUCAGCCUUCUCUCCUGCGGAGGUGCACCCAGCCCAUGCUCCCUGCACUUCUGGCCUCCUCGGGUGUGGUGAAUGAGUGUGCUUAAAGGGGAAGCGACAGCCCAUGCUCCCUGCACCUCUGGCCUCCUCGGGUGUGGUGAAUGAGUGUGCUUAAAGGGGAAGCGACAGCAGACUCUGGCACUGGCUGUUCUGUCUGUGGCUAAGGAGAAUGCCCGGGACGUGUGCUGCCUGCAGGGGUGGCAGGACACCAGCUGCAGAGACACCUCCUGUGCUGCCCUCCGGGGUGGGCUCCAGACUCUCUUCCCGGCUCC
rnacentral:lncRNA from 1 species